AACGGUCUAUACCUGCGGUACCUGCGGAAGGAUCAUUAAAGAGUUUAACUACUCAAACCAUUGUGAACCUUACCUCAACCGUUGCUUCGGCGGGCGGGCCCGGGCCAAGCCCGGCGCCCCCCCGGCCCCUCGCGGGCGCCCGCCGGAGGUUAACCGAACCCUUGAAUUGUAUGGCCUCUCUGAGUCUUCUGUACUGAAUAAGUCAAAACUUUUAACAAUGGAUCUCUAGAUCGGAAGAGC
rnacentral:misc_RNA from 1 species